rnacentral:misc_RNA from 1 species
UAUGUAUACUUGUAUAGGUAAUAUUAGUAUUUCAUUAACCAAAAAACGAAACUCUUACAAUGAACAAUGAAUGACUUAAGCGAAGCCGUCCUGAUUUGUACGCCCAUACUAAUAUAACUUUCGUUACAAAAGCAUCAAAUGAAAUUGAAUGAUUAAAUAUUUAGACUGCAUUAUAAAAUUUCUUAUAUAAUAAGCGUUGAGAAUGCGGCGUUUAUAACUUUAUGGCUGUAAAUAUAUUUUUAUCCAUUUGUAGAAAAUAAUAUACCUACUAUUCUGGCAAAGUCUUUCCCUGCUCCGAAUAUAUUUAUAAGAAAUGAAACAUACAAAGUACAUUUUGGAAGAAAAUCAUCUUGUGGAAACUCUGGAACGUACAGAAAACUUAAUUCGUAAGAUUGAAUAAGCGGCUUCACUUAAGGCUAACACAUCAUCACGUGUAGAAUGUGUGUAGGGAAUGUCUGAGGCAAGCGCCAUACUAUGCAAAUAUUUCGGCGCUCGGAGCUCGGCGCUCCUUUAUCAAGAUGCCCCGAAGCGCAAGACGUAAUACACCCCAACACGCCUCGUAAUUUGAAAUCUGCCAAGCGAGGAAUACAAAAUUUUUCAUGUUUCGCUAGUAUUAAUCUUUUACUUAAGUAUUACAAAGAUUUUAAGUAACGUAAUAAACCUAUAAGCCACCUAAGAGUGUAACCAUUCAAUUCUGAACAAUAUAAAAGAAAUCAAUUUUGAAAUGGAAGAAUUAUUAGAACAAAUAUCAUAAAAUAAACAAUUACAAAUUUCGUUUGUUGCAACAAAGAAUGAGGUCAACGACUAAACAGAUAACACACUUGUGUGAAAAUGUUCUUAAAUAUCUUUCAUAUAUUUUAAAUUCCCGACUACUAACUAUAUUAUAAUUAUAACAAACUACAAUUUUUCAAUAGCUUUUUACACAUUUAAUUCCUAAA